CCUACGGGUGGCAGCAGUGAGGAAUAUUGGUCAAUGGACGAGAGUCUGAACCAGCCAAGUAGCGUGAAGGAUGACUGCGCAAUGCGUUGUAAACUUCUUUUAUCAAGGAAUAAAACGAGGAACGCGUGCCGUUCUGCAUGUACUUGAUGAAUAAGGAUCGGCUAACUCCGUGCCAGCAGCCGCGGUAAUACGGAGGAUGCGAGCGUUAUCCGGAUUUAUUGGGUUUAAAGGGUUCGUAGAUGGGUUGUUAAGGCAGUUGUGAAAGUUGGCGGCUCAACCCUAAAAGUGCAAUUGAUACUGGGAGUCUUGAGUACAGUUGAGGUAGGCGGAAUUCGUGGUGUAGCGGUGAAAUGCUUAGAUAUCGCGAAGAACCCCGAUUGCGAAGGCAGCGUGC
rnacentral:rRNA from 1 species